CCGGAAGUGAUUUUUAUUCUGCCGUCAGCUGAAGCAAUAGAGCUAUAUUGGCUUUAAAACUACUUCUUGCUUGCUUAUAUGGGAGAUGAGCCGCCUGCUUGUCUUCAGUGUCAAGAGAUCCAGUUGAGUCGGAAGAAGAGUUGGAGUCAGGAGUUGCCCUAACCCUCCAUUUACCUGUUAAAAAGAAACGUUGAAGAUGUGGAACAAGAGGAAGGAAAAAGUUUGACAGAGAAGCAGAAAGAUCCGAGGAACAAUGGGUCCAUCCAGAAACAAAGAGGUUCGAGGAGUGACGAGCACCUGGGGGAUGUUUUCCCGAAGACGAGUCGGCGUUUCCCGCUUCGUUUUCCUGACUGCGGGACGGAGCGACGGUCCGGUCAGGAUGCUCUCUGCCAGACACCUGAGCGUGAACUGAGGGCGAAGCCACACAGAAGAACCUUUCUUCACUCUGAAAGCCCUUCGCAGAGGGGGAAAAAUCCCAGGAAGGAGUUGAGAUGAACAGGUGGUGAAACAGUGUGAGAAAAACAACAGACACCUGCUCAUGAAACCCAAGCUGGUUCCUCCAUCACAUUCCAGCAGAGUUUUUACCCGGCGAGCUGGGAGGAUCCGCUCCGUCUCAGCCGCUCCAUCAAACUUGUAUUUAGAUUUGUUUGUUUUUUUUGUUUUUUUAAGGCUGAAACCUGUGUGUUUUUGGACGGCGUUCAAAGGUAGAGCUGUGACACAAAGCCUGAAAUAACUCGGUGCUGGUCUGCGGUAACCUGACGCACCAGAUGGUUGGCUUCACCGAACCAUCUGGGAGGGAAACGGCAGAAUGAAGAGGACAGGUAUGGUCAAAAUCUGAAUGCGGUGAUCAACUGGAGGCUCCCGGGCCACAUGGAGUCCACAAGCUCAUUCUGUCUGGACAUUACUCUCUUAAAAUCAGA